rnacentral:sRNA from 14 species
UUGUUCUUUUUUCACCUUAACUGUCACGUCAUUGCAAAUUGUGCAUUGUUCGGAUGCACAUGAGAGACGUUGUGCUCUUACCAAUGCAGGCUAGUUCAUGGGGGCAUCAUUGGCAAUGCAUGUACUCCAAUAUAUUGAAGCACACGAAUACACAUGCAGACUCUCAUCCCAUGCAAACUUUGACCACAUAGCCUAGAAUUUCCGCAUCCUUUGCGAAAAAUUUCCGGUCUGGUGAUCUUUGGUGGUUAUGGUCAAAUGUUUUGAAUUUUAUAAAUGUACCAAAGAGUACAAGAGGACAACAUCGGCUGCUCUGUUAUGAGAUCCUGUUCCCACACAAUAAGUUUGAUAUAAAAUUCAACCAAUUGGAAACACCACUGAUGGGAUCUCAGAGCUGCAUAGUAAGCCAUACGCUUCACCUAAUACGAAUUUCUGCGACUUUUGCCCCAUCCAAACAUUAAAGAUCAUCAGAGCGGAAGAAUUAUUCGAAAUACAAGGAAAUAGGAUUAUGUGAGGCAAACAGUAUAAAUUACACUCAUGCCCGCAUUGUUGCCAAUGCUGUACUGCUGUUGCCGCUCACAAACAAGGAGAGAGAGAAAGAAAACAUUGAAAUGCUUAAUCCAAGUGACAAAUUUUUCGAAUGGUAGCACAGUGGUUGAACAGCAAUAAGACCUCCCUAAAUAUUCUGUGCUCCCAUGACUUUUGCUUUCGCUCCACUGAACUUUGCAUAAUGUGGUGGUUGGUGCCAAUAGAUGGAUGGAUGGAUGGAUGUAUGGCUGGCUGGACAGACUUCAUUCAAAUAACAAAUUAAAUGCAAUUGCUACCCUGGUGACGUCUACAAUGUCUAACUAAAUUAGUGCCUACUUUUAGGCUUCUGCUGAUAUCUGCUUUCCUGCUGUAUAUUCGUAUGCUUCAAGUUUUUGAAAUUAUAAAAAAAACACAGACUAAUCUCUUCCGGCUUAACUCGAGAAUCAGUUGUACUCAAGUAGAAAUGACCUGAAAGGGAUAUCAGAAUCCGAAAAAGGAUUGCAGUAUGAAAAGCAAGGAUAUUUGGUAUCCAUCAAGGAUAUUUGGUAUUCAUUCAUUUCUCUUUGCAAUGACGAAUUUUCAACUGGCGUAACCAGCUAUCAGGCUGACAGAACUUUGCCAAAAGCAUUGUGGUUGGCAAAGGAAAUCACUCAACUGCAAACUAUCACACAUGGAUGAGAAUCACUCAAUGGAUCCAACAGUGAUGUUCAUAGACAUUACGAGAGACCUGAAAGAGAGAAAGAAGGUGGCUCAAAACGAUGGAUAGCAGGAGGCAUGCUACAAUGUGGUCAUGAUGGUAGCCAGCCAACGUGAACCAUCAUCACACUUGGGUGAGAAAAUUCGCAUUGGAGUGCAACUGACCAUUGAAGUUUAUGCAGUGGAAAUAAACGUACUGGGAUUGCAUAAGAUUGGUGAAUUUUUGGGUGAAUUUUUAAUUCAAAUUGUAAAUAAAUUGCC